GCUCGGUAAUGUGCUGGCUGGAGGAGGGACACAGCCGCACGCUGGAGUAGGGGGUAGGGGUGGAUGAGCAGGGCUGGGCGGGACCAUAAACAGCCACAGCGAGAGCAGCAUCUCCACUCCGCCGGCCUGUCACCCGAUCACUGCACAGGACCCGAUCACAAGCCCAAAAGUGAUGGAAGGGUUGGCCAAAGUGAAGGCAUGGACUCCAAGGACAAAGCUUGCACUCUAUUUGAAAACUAGUGUCGACUAAUAUUGGUUUUUGACAUAAUUUAGGAGCUGGGGGAUAAAAGGAGUACAAAGUUCAAACUCUUGGAGACCAGACAGGAGACGCACAAAGAGUGAGAAGCUGCAAAAUCGAGGAAAGUUGGUCGCGGUUGGGAGCGCACGUCAGACCCACAUUUGAAGUCUGAUGUGGCCGCUCCGGACGCCACUGCCCAAUCAAGCAUGGAGCAUGAUCUGAGGAUGGGUCUGUCUUUUUGGACCAUUGCGGCCAUUGUUUGCAACUCAGCAGUCGGCGUCCUCAUCGUCAUUCUGUUUGUGAUCCUCUACAAAGCCUGCAAGGUGCCUUCCCACCAAGAUAAAGUGCCAGUUUUUGUUCCAAGGCUGGAUCAGAAGAAGGCUGAACAGAAGUACAUGCUGGCUGCAGCUUGAUUAAGAAAUGAUAAAUUAUGUUUUGGCAAAAUCCAACUUAAUCUACUGAGAUUGAAGAAUUUGGAGGGAAAGCUGAGUGAGCACCUGCUUAGAAUAGCUGUUAUUAUGUUAACACCUGUGCAGUACUUGAGGGAGUUCUGAGAAAGACAGCACAAAAAGAUCAAAACAUAAAAAAAUGAGGAAGACAUAUAUAUACGUGACAACACAGAGGCACACAACACUUGACAAACCAGUAAACUAAGAGCAUCGAGAUUUGUAGCAAGACUAACUACAACAGCCAUGCCCAAUCCUCUUAUCUCUGCUGUGCGUCGCUGGGACUGUCCAUCUGUCAGUCUCUUCCACUGCUCCACACUUUUUCAUCCCUCCAUGUUUGACAGCUGGCUCCUUAUGAGGGAGAAACAACAAAGAGUUUAAGUAAGUGGAAUACAGAAGUCCUAGCGGGUAGAGCUUUCGUUUAGUCACUACUAAAUGAGGAAAAAUUCAUAUAUUAUUUCAAAGCUGAUGAACAGUAAACUUUAUUUUCUGCUACCAGAUUCCACUAAGUACAGCAAGUACACAGCAGGACAUCCAGCAGGCUAAGAGAAGCAGGAGUCCAAAGGAAGACAGAUGGAAAUAAAGUCACAUUUUUUAUUAAAUUAAAUUAAUCAAGUGCAAAGAAAAGAAAUAGAGGAGAAAUUUGCUCUGUUUUACAGUUUUUUCUAUACAAAAGGGAACACCCGUUCAACUCCAAACACAUUUAAAAGUAAAAAAAAUACAUACAAAACCCAAUUUUUUUGUGUGCCUCUGUCUUAUGAGUUCACCUUAAAUGAAGGCCGAACUAGGUAUCUAUUCUAUCUGUCUUCAUAUUUCCAAGUGCAUUUAGUGUUUUUUGUAGGGAAAUUUCUGCUGUAUUUACAAAAAAGGCAAAACAUGUAGUGAAAUAUGACUUUGCUAUGUGAGCCAGAAGUUAAUUUGUAAACCAUAAAGGGCAAUGUCUUUGUGUUUUCACCAAAGAAACAUAUCUGUAGAAGUUUUACUUUGGUAUCACAUCCUGUCUGUUCACCACUUUAUCUGUGGAGCAGCUACAGCUUUCUGCCUAAGCCCUGGUUGUAUAAAAAAAGUUCCACAGUUUGAACGUGGGACUUUCGUCUGUCAUAAUUUAGCUGAAUUAGAGAAAUCCAACAGACCAAAUAGCAACUUUUUUUCCGGCAGUCCUUUAUCUGCAUUGUUGUUCUGCUUGGUCUUGACUCUGUUCUGUAAAGUCAGGCAAUAAACUCUUUACCAGACAUGUUGCCCUUUCUGUGUGUGCAUCAUCGUAUGUUGAGCUAAUCAAUACUGAACACACUGACUGCUGCUGUGACCCACUUCCUGUUUGUUAAUCUACCACAAGCGCUGUAAUCCUUAUCUUGUAACUAGAUUCCAACAUGGGUAUAUGCUGUAACGGUCGUAGUGUAAUCUUUCCAGGCCAGUGCUUACACUCUAUCCAUAUCAAAUGGUAACUUUUUGUGGUAAAAGGCAGUUCUGCAUUUCUUUUUAUUUGAAAUGUUGAAAUAAAUUAAAAAACAGAAGUGCAGCAUAACUAGAAUUAGAACCAUGUCUUUACACUUGUUGGUGGAAUAUUUAUAUCUAGCCAUUGGGUUGUCUUGAUUCAAUGGCUGACUUGUCUUUCAGUUAAAGCUACCUUGAACUAAAUGACUAAUAACUUUCUAUUCAAUGAGAUUUGCUUUCCUAGUUCAUGAAUAAAUAAGAUACUGGUGUGAGUAUAAAACUAUACGAAGCAUAAAUAUUAUUAAUUUCUCUGAAUAUAUUACAUGAGUUAUCCAAUUCUAACUGAUUCAGAUCAAUAAUGUUUCUGGUUUAAACAGGAACUUGAUUUUUCGUAUUUACCACAUUUCUCUCCUGCCAUUAAGCUAAACUGAAAAAACUGAGAUUUUCACGUCUUUAGUCACAAGUAUAACAGGAUUUUGUGUUUAUGGGAUUAAAUUUGUGUUAGAAAAAGGUCAAAUAAAAGUGUCUUGACUUUAUGGCAAGGGUGGAAAGACACAAAAUCCUUUUCUUUCUUUUUUUUAAAGUGAGUUCUUAAAUGCAUAUUUUAAAGUGCAGCAAAAAAAGUGGAUUACUGGACCAUGUCUUGAGUUUUAAAAAUUUUUCAUUAGGACAACAAAGUUUUCUAAAAAAACGUUUUCUUUUUUUUACUGCAGUUACCAAAACCAACCCAGCUUCUUGGGCCUGCAGUUUUCUCCAUACCAAUUUAGGGCAGAAACAGAAAAUCGUGAUAUAAAUCUUUGUUUGUGAAGACAGGUCUGCUCGGAAUUGAAGAAAUUCUUUAUUGACUCAGUUUGUCAAUAAACAACGUUACUUUUAAA